rnacentral:rRNA from 1 species
GAGUGAAGCGGCAACAGCUCAAAUUUGAAAUCUGGCCCUCGGGUCCGAGUUGUAAUUUGUAGAGGAUGCUUUUGGUGCGGUGCCUUCCGAGUUCCCUGGAACGGGACGCCAUAGAGGGUGAGAGCCCCGUCUGGUUGGACACCAAGCCUCUGUAAAGCUCCUUCGACGAGUCGAGUAGUUUGGGAAUGCUGCUCUAAAUGGGAGGUAUAUGUCUUCUAAAGCUAAAUACCGGCCAGAGACCGAUAGCGCACAAGUAGAGUGAUCGAAAGAUGAAAAGCACUUUGAAAAGAGGGUUAAAUAGUACGUGAAAUUGUUGAAAGGGAAGCGCUUAUGACCAGACUUGAGCCCGGUUAAUCAUCCAGCCUUCUGGCUGGUGCACUUGGCCGGCUCAGGCCAGCAUCAGUUCGGCGCGGGGGAUAAAGGCUUCGGGAAUGUGGCUCCUCCGGGAGUGUUAUAGCCCGUUGCGCAAUACCCUGCGCUGGACUGAGGUUCGCGCAUCUGCAAGGAUGCUGGCGUAAUGGUCAUCAGCGACCCGUCUUGAAACACGGACCAAGGAGUCGUCUUCGUAUGCGAGUGUUCGGGUGUCAAACCCCUACGCGUAAUGAAAGUGAACGCAGGUGAGAGCUUCGGCGCAUCAUCGACCGAUCCUGAUGUUCUCGGAUGGAUUUGAGUAAGAGCAUACGGGGCCGGACCCGAAAGAAGGUGAACUAUGCCUGUAUAGGGUGAAGCCAGAGGAAACUCUGGUGGAGGCUCGCAGCGGUUCUGACGUGCAAAUCGAUCGUCAAAUAUGGG